UGAGAUUAUAGUCUGUAAGUAACACACACUAGCGGGAUAUCUUGUGCCAUAAAGUAAUUGUAAUGUCAUGUAAUUAAAAUCUAUGGUUACUACAGGCCUUCCAUCCAAUUUCAAGGCAAAAUUCUGCUGAAUUCACAACAUUAUGUCAACUUCAACUGCUCUGGAAUUAAAACACUUUAGCUUGCUGAAGUGCUCUAUAUGCGAAGAGUGUGUCCUCAUGCUAUUGUUGCCACAAUAGCACAGAACGGCUUUUUAGAGUGGCCAAAAUUGUGAUACGAGGACUCGGUACAGAUUUUUUGUUAAUAAACAUGAGUAAGCUAAUAUUUAUCAGUUGGUGAGUAAGCCUAAUCAGUCAGUAAGCAUGGCUGAGGUGAGGGGUAACUAUAUCUGAGUAUGAACACAGUGUUGAAGUCAUGGGUUUUGUGUUAAACAGUGGUCCACUACUGGGAGCAAACCAUCGAGGGCCAAAGGCACUGUGGGGAGUUCCGUGCAAAGCAAUCUUGUAGUAUCGGUCCAGUCUUAUGGAUUGCUUAGUAGGAGUGUUAGCGUAGUGGACUCCUAUGAGGAAUUGUUACAUGGGUGCCUUGCAUUUGAGCUGAGCGUGCCCCUAACCCUGGCUGUCAACCAGACAAAUGAUCCUGUUACUUUCUGGUUUGUUUAGUUCAGUUUAGCGAAAAUCAGGAGACGGCAAUUGCUCAGAGCACCUACCUUGCAAAGACUUCUUAUCGAGCAGCAUUGGCAAGUCUGAGAUUGGACGGCCACAGAGUGAUCGGCAAGUGAUUGACUUAUUUUGCAAGCUGUUUAAAUUAUACCCCAAUGAAAAACUGCAUAAUUAAAUGCAAACAUUUUUAUUGAGUGCAUUUUAACUACGGUAAAUAUUUAUUUUUGUUUUUAUCUGGGCAGUGGAG